GGCGCGCUCUGCCUUCAGUCCUAUUGAAAAUACAUGCCACGGUAGCCAUCUUUCUUGAGGGCAAACGAGCUUUUCCCCCUGAAAACCCCACACAGCACCGCGUCUUUGUGCCCUCCUCCAUGUCUGCUGCUGUCCUCUCAGGAGAGCCGUCAAUACUACUAAAAAGGACGAGGGUGUCAGCUGACAAGCAGGCUUGUUUUCCAAUAUGGCUGUCUGGCAGGAGAAGCUGUGGUCAGGGAACAAGAAAAAGAUAGGAACCACGACACCUCUCUGGGCCUUGGGAACCUUGUGGCUGGUCUGUUUCACCGCGCGGUGCGUGGCGGGCGGCGAUUCUCCGCUGAAGUGCGAAGACCUUCGAGUCGGCCAAUACAUUUGUGAAGAUCCUAAAAUAGACAAUGACACGCAAGAGCCCUUGAACUGUACAAAUCAUAUCGCAUAUGUUGCAUGUCUUCCAGCACAAAAUAUUACUUGUAAGGAUUUCAGUGGGAACGAAACCCAGUUUACUGGAAAGGAAGUUGGAUUUUAUAAGCCUAUAGCGUGUCGAAAUGUAAAUGGCUAUUCCUAUAAAGUAGCUGUAGCACUCUCUUUAUUCCUUGGAUGGUUGGGAGCAGAUAGGUUUUAUCUAGGAUAUCCUGCAUUAGGUUUGUUAAAGUUCUGCACGGUGGGGUUUUGUGGAAUUGGUAGUUUGAUUGACUUCAUUCUUAUUUCAAUGCAGAUCGUGGGACCAUCAGAUGGUUCUAGUUACAUUAUAGAUUAUUAUGGAGCAAGGCUUACCAGACUGAGUAUUACUAAUGAGACAUUCAGAAAGCCACAGAGAUACCCUUAAACUGCUGGUGGAGCCAAAUCCCAUAGUGAAUAUCUUAUGCCAGUUGAAGCUGGCAUAUUGGCAAACUCAGCACUCAAGCUUGCUCUAUUCUAUGCUGAGACUGUGAAUUUCUUCCUGAUUCUCCUUCAACCUGCAGCUUUAACAAGAUGAAGCAAAAGGAACAGGUUUUAUUCUAGUAGUGCAUUCUGAAUUCUCUUUUAUUUCAGCUCCAUGCACUCCAUUUUAGUGUCAGGAAGAUACCUGAAUAAUAAAUGAUGGAAGGUGGCUGUCUUCAAUGGACAUGAUUUGAUAGAACCAUCUGUUUCAUCAAUUCAAUCUGUACAAGCCAAAAGUAGCAGACCACUUCAUCAUGUACCUUUCUGGUCAUACAAAAGGAGUUAGGGCUUAUGUGCAACGGCUUUAACAACCACUGUAGCUCUGUCAAGAGGAGGACAGUGACUUGCCUUUUAAAUUAUUGUGUUAAAUAAUAAACAAUGGACAUAAUUUAUGGUAAAUGCACCAUGAAGUACUGUGGACGCAAAACAGGUUCUCCAAUAACUGUGGAAAGUGUGAAUGAGAGAGAGAGAGAGAAGGAAAGCUAGGAAGAAGUGAUUUGAUAUUUCAGCAUCCUUUUCCCUACUGCUCUUUAAAAGCAAGAAGAGAAUCGAAACAGAAAAAAUGUUGUAUUACAGAUGUACCAAGUUACAGCUCAUUCGUUCUUUUCCUCCCUUGCAUCAAGUACAUCCUGUACUUUUGGCAACAAGUUGUCUGGAUAUUUAAAAGCUGUGAACUGUUCUGAAAGUUUCACAUAGUGGGUUAUGGGCCAUGUGUGUUUGAUCAAAAUUCAAUUACUGCACUGUGCCAGGCUUGGAAACCUAUCAUUGCAAGUUAUGAAGUAUGACGAAAUAAGCUACUCUAAUUGGUUCAGUAUGGGGAGCAGUCUCAACCAAGCUUGUUAUGAUAAAUAGCUUCCUGUGUUAAAGGUUCUCUGGAGCUUAAGUGUCUUGGCUCACCUCCUUCAACAGAAUAAGAAUAUUGUUCCCCAGAAACACUUACAUCAUUGUCCCUCUUUCCCAUUCAGAGUUAAACAUUUGUAGAAUUUUCAUCUUACUGUUCUUGAGGAAUAUAAACAAUAACCAUUGCUGACAUUUUCCUCCUUUUCCUUUCUGUCACUUCUCCAUCCAGUCAUAAAACAUCUUGCACUCCUUGUAUACAUCGAUAUAAAGAGUAUUUUAAUAUUCCAGCACAACUACUGUUACUGGCAAGUCACCGUCUCAGCUAUAUUGCCACUUGGAAAUUCUUUAAACAAUAGCAAAGUCAAGUCCACUUUGCAAUAGCUAAAAUAAGAGGGUGAAUGCACUGUGGCUCUGAGCCUAGAUCUGCACUUGCUAAAUGUGGUGUUGAAAACAUUAACUCCAUUCCAUGGACAAAGAAUACUGGCCCCAUAGCUUAGCUGGUUCAUCUUCUGGAAGUAAUGUCUGUGUUGCAAUCUCAUGUCACAAUAACUGCCACAAGUGAAAGAUAAAGGAUAGAGCAAUUUACCUUUUGGCUAUUUUAUGUAUAUAGUGGGCAAUAAGACUUUUUUUAAAUAGUAAAGAUGACUAUCUCAUGCUUUCAGUCACUUCAGGGGUAAAACGUUGGAGUGGCUGCCGUUUUUGUUUAGGAUAAGCUACGGAAAAUAUGUGCUUGAUAAUGUCCAUUUCCUUUAGCAGUUUCACUUACUGCACCCAGAUUAGAAUAGGUCAUGAUCCUUCACUUCUCUUACAUGAUAAUUUAACCGAAGUUUACCAGUGUUGUUACUAGUUACCAUUUGUUUUUUGAGCUUUGAUCUCAUCAUAGCUUGCCAUUAUAUUUAAAUGUCCUGUUUAACCUUCUGCUAAGAGAGAUGCGUAACGCUGAAGUCGGCACUUCUAGCUCGUGCUAAAUCUACUGCAAAAAAAAGAAGUCUCAGUUUUAAAAAGCAGUAUCCUUAGUCAUCACUUAAUCAAGCAAUGACUAAGUACAGCCAUACAAAAUUGAGGGGAGGAAAAGUCAUGACAAUAAAUAUAUAAGAUUCAUGUCUGAGUAAGAUGAGAAAUCCACCCUGCCACUGUCUUGAAAAUCAGAUGUGAUCAAAUACUUUAAGACUGGUGAUGGUGAUGGGUAUGUUCUUCGUCUGACUUUUGUUGGCUUGUUUACGCCCUACCUCCCCACCCCUGAUAGCAUGUAGAGAAUAGCAAUCAUUUUAUGGCUUUUAAUAAAGUUCCCACAAGAAGAAACUUUACCUUUAAAAAUAGAAUGUGACUGCAGGCACUUAUGCUAAUCUUCCUUUUGGCAAAUCAGCUUUUUUUUGUAUUGAAUCUCGCUUGAUUGAAUAGCAUUGGAGCUGCCAGAGUAAAUGCUAUUAUCAAUGUACAGUAAUUAAGGAAAUAGUCCUUGUCACUCGAACAGCGUCCAGGCAGUGCCUGCUGUAAUAAAGUUAAAUGAUAAAGAAAUCUCUUUAAAUAAAGUGCAGCUACUGGAGUGUGGUUACUUCUGAAAUGCAGUGGAACAAUGCAGUAGAGAAUUAUCGGUGAUAGGAAAACAUGCCCACUGAACACAAUGUGAAUGUAGAACUCUAAAACAUGUAAUUAGAUAGCAUUAAACAAUUAAUCUUCUGAUUUAAACCUAGAGAAGCAUGUUUUAAUCCUCCAUCCUCCCAAAAGUGACAAGCUUGGAGCUCUUUUGUCUUCUGCACGUAUAGCUCUUUAAAUUAUUGUGGAUGUUCUUUAACAUUUUCAAGUCUGUUUUAAAAUUGUAAGAUUUGGGUUCUGUCACAUUGGCUCUUGGUAUGAUAUUGAAUGCACAACAUUUUAUACUUUCCUCUUCCCCAGAUGCCGCCUCCUUAAAUCUUAAGAGUAUCAAUCUAUCUCAAGCUGAUAUGAUUAAAAAACUCUGCCUCUUCCUUCUAGGGUAAUUUUGAUAGCACAAUAGAGUACAGUACACCAAAUAUUUCACUAGUGGGUUUAACACAUUCACUGUCCUUUAUAAGGAAAGAAAUGGUACAGGAUAUAUUCUUUUCUUUUUUUUUUUAAUACUGCUUUUAGAAAAGAUGUUGGAUGGCAAGGAGAGUAGGAAAUAGAAUGUAAUUGCUUAAUUUACUAAAUGUCCUUAGUCGAUAGAUAUAUGACUACUUGCGCAAGGUAUAUGAAAGAAAGGAAUGAGGGACAAGCCUUUGAACAACAAGGUUACUUUUUCUCCAUGAUGAUGGCUGCAUGUACCCUAUGCACAUGGAAUAAAAAAAUAUCCAACAAACUA